UACAGAGACUGCAAGCGUUAUUCGGAUUCACUGGGCGUAAAGGGUGCGCAGGCGGCCAAGUGUGUUAGGCGUGAAAGCCCGGGGCUUAACCUCGGAAUUGCACCUAAAACUACAUGGCUAGAGCAUUGGAGAGGGGUAGCGGAAUUCACGGUGUAGCAGUGAAAUGCGUAGAUAUCGUGAGGAACACCAGAGGCGAAGGCGGCUACCUGGACAAUUGCUGACGCUCAGGCACGAAAGCGUGGGGAGCGAACAGG
rnacentral:rRNA from 1 species